GCUUUGAACCUGUGUUCUACCAAACGCAGUCUUUCCUCUCCAGCAAACAAUUAUGCUGGUGCAGGCAUUCGCUGUCAUACUCGUGUGUUCAAUUGUGGGAGGAGCAGCCGGUCGAGCUUGGGGUGACCUAUAUGACAUAGCGAUGAGACCUGUGGUUGCCACCGACAUUACUCGUCCUGACUUGAUAAAGGGUGGAUCAUCAUCGAAGAAAUGCAACCAGUGCUCUUGCAAGCUCACCUGGGAUUUGACGGAAUAUAAAAAGCAUAGCUGUACAAGCCAGUUUCAAUUCACUUGUACGUGCAACGCUUACACCUGCGAGAAGAGAGAAAUUCAGCACUGCAUGGCACUGGUUGCUAAAUAUUUUUAAAACAAAAAACAAACGCCGUGCCCAGCACUGUUCAGACUGAUUAUAAAAUCUUUUUACAUACUUCAUUCGAACAGUGUGUCUAUGGUGGUUUUGGGACGCUAAGCCACCGCACGUAUGCAUGUAGAGGGUUU